rnacentral:lncRNA from 1 species
UAAUUUCUCUUUCCAAUAAAUUAAUUUGAUUACAAUUAAUUAUCAAUUAAUUAAUAAUAAUUUUCUUCCUAUAAUCAUAACAAAUAAUAUUAUAAAUUAAUGAUUUCAUCUCUCCCUUUACACUUUAAUUUUAUUAAUUAAAGUCAAUAAUUAUGAAUUCAUUAUGAAUUCUGUACACGACAUAGCUAACCCAAUUAAUUCAGAUUAUUAUUGUUCAUUGUUUACGACGUUUCUGUUUAACAUUGGGCCUACAGUCCAAAUAGUUACUCGAACCCAAAAUUGUCAGCUCAGCCCCAAUCUGUCAGUCCCAAACCACAACCCAAUGCUAGUCUGCAAGCCCAACAGUCCAACACAGCUUGCCACCGCAACCCUAGCUGCAACCACCACCACGUCACUCGCUCGACUCCGACCACCACCACGGAACACAGCAAUUGCAAGCAUCAGAACCCCAAAAUAAUUUUUCCCAAUUCAAACCCUAACCUUUUCAAUCGGAAUCCUAAGCCCCAAAAUUAACGAAACCCUGACCUGCAGAGAAAAUAAAAAACCACCCCAAAUGCUAAAACGCAGAUUCGGAAGAGGAGAAAAAGAAGAAUAAGGCCUCCAUCCUUGCGCCGGGAAAAGCCGUCACUGCAACACACGCCGUCACAAAGGAAAUACCACGCCCUCAACGCGCCUCUACCGCGCAGUUGCCGCCCCCUCACUGAUAUCGCCGCACCAGCGAUGCUCCCAUCCAGGUUGGUUAUCCACGAGAAAGAGAGAAGAGAUAAACAGGAGUUUGAACCCUCACGGAAUCCACCGCGGCAAGACAUCCUCGCCGCGCAUCUUCGUGCUCUCACCACCAAAGUUGCAUCUGCUGCGUUGAAGAGAAAGGCAGUAGCCUGAAGCUUCUAGGUUUUUUGUGAUGAAGAAAAAGCAACAGAAAAAGGGUGGAAUGAGGGCAACCUGCGUGGCCCUUCGAAAAGAAACGGGUUGGACCCUUAAUUUUGGUUCAAGCCCAAUUCAAAACAGAAAGAGAAAGAAAAUAACACUGUGGACUUACGCAAACAAUUAACUUGGUUGUUGAUACUAACCCUAAUUCCCAUUAAUUCCCAUUAACCUCUCAUUAAAAGAAUCUCCAAACCCUAAUUUUUUAUCUUAAUGGUAAUUAAUUGAACCUUUUGAUCUCUUCUGAAAUAGAAUUCAAUACGAAAUUCUUAUAGAAUUUAAUUAUGUGAAUUCUAAGAAUUCACGUACGUAGAAUUCAAUUGCUUGAAUUCAAAAUUAUAUUAACAUAAUAAUACAGUGCAAUUUAUUUAUGAUUAAAAUCAUCAAUUAAAAAUUCAAACAUCAUUCUACCACAUCAAAAAUAUUCAAUCAUGAUAUUGAGUAUUCAAUCAAAUUAACCACUAUUUAAAUGCAAAGAUAGCUUUUUAUGAUUAUAAAAGAUACUCAAAAAAAUUUCCACAUUGAUUAUACAAUAAAGAAAACGUAAGCUUCUCAUACCUUAGCUAAUCAAAAGAAUAAGCUUUCACCCCUUCUUCUACAGACUCUCUUUCCUUUCAGUCUCUCUGUCUAAUACUUUCUUUUUCCUUGUCUCACAAAAGUAACGUAACUCUUUUUAUGUUUUCCAUUCUUUAUAAUUAAAAUUUAAAGUAACUGUUCUUCCUAAAAUCUUUCACCCACUAUUCUUAAAAUCUCUCAACCACUUAUUUUAAAAACACAACUGUUAUAUCUUUUAUUUUAUUUUAUUUUUAUUUAAUGUAUGCUUUUACUUCUUAUACCCCUAUUUAUAAUAUCUGCACCCCAAUUACAAAAAUGGAAAAGACAUUUUUUUGCCCUUAGGCCUACAUAUCUACCAGCAAGUCAACACAUCACAUUACAAUAACAUAAUAAAAUCUAGAAUUUUCUCGGGUC